rnacentral:lncRNA from 1 species
ACAUCAUCUUAAGAAUUCUUACAGUGCAGAGCAGUGAGAAAUGGUGGCCAAGACUACUGGCUUAACAAAAAAAUGGCCGUGGAAGUUACCUGUAUCUGCAAACUUGGAAAGAAUGUCUUGUCACAAUCUCCUGCAAAAAUGUCAGCUUAGUCUUAUUCUCAAUGGUUGGCCACUCCUGUAUGUGUGAACAUUUUGCUAUUUUGAAUCACAUUAAGGGCAAUAAAUACACAAAUCAUUGGAAGAUGCAAUAAAAGUUGGCAGCAGCUGAAUAACAUUAUACCCUAAAAGAGAAUGACAGAGUCUGGUACCAGGUCUCAGCUAUGCAAGAAAUGGAGUUAAGGAAUAUGGUAGGCAUACUCAGGUAACUGCCUGAGCAGCUAAAGGAAGUCUGAGUGUGGGCAUGACCUCAUUUCAGUGUCUCAUCUUCAUGAGUCAGGGUGGACCCUUCUAGAAAGAGCUCAGUUCCUUAAAAA